UGAUCGAGUCGACAAGGCGGACUGCCGCGUC
rnacentral:sRNA from 1 species